UGGAAACUUUCUGGGUUUGAAGUUGAAUUCUAGGGGCAGGGUGGACUAGUCCUGUCCUGGGACAAUCCAAUAUUCAAAGAAAUUCUAUUUGCAGCCUAUAUUAUGAAGCACUAAGAAGCUGGGAUUGGUAUGUUGAAGGUAAAUUUUAUAAACAGUUUAUAAAGGGUGAAUGGGUGAUGUCUUAGUAAAUAGUUAUUCAAGGGUUGAAUGUCAUAAGUCAAUAUGAUCCUUAACCAUGGCUAGCUCUGUUCAAUUAGCCAUACCCUGCCAUGCCACACCUGUGCAGGCUGUAGGAUUUUUAAGAAUGGAUGAAGCCAGCAAAGGUGGGCCUAUCAGAAAGAGCUACAGGGGUGUGGCAAGUUCCUGUAGCGAGCCCUGAAACAAAGGCUAGGCUCCGGGAAGGCAGCCUUGGGGGCCAGUGUUCCUGAAGAAGACCAGGGAGAGGAAGAAGUGGUGAGUGACUUCUUCUAUUUUAGGGGAGAUAUAGUUUAGUCCUGGAGACAAAAAUCUAGUUUUCUCUGAGACAAAAAUCU